rnacentral:rRNA from 1 species
GGGGAAUAUUGCACAAUGGGCGAAAGCCUGAUGCAGCAACGCCGCGUGAGUGAUGAAGGCUUUCGAGUCGUAAAGCUCUUUGAUCAGGGAUGAUAAUGACAGUACCUGAAAAACAAGCCACGGCUAACUACGUGCCAGCAGCCGCGGUAAUACGUAGGUGGCGAGCGUUGUCCGGAAUUACUGGGCGUAAAGGAUGCGUAGGUGGAUAAUUAAGUGGGAUGUGAAAUCUCCGGGCUCAACCCGGGAACUGCAUACCAAACUGGUUAUCUAGAGUGCAGGAGAGGAAAGUAGAAUUCAUAGUGUAGCGGUGAAAUGCGUAGAUAUUAUGAGGAAUACCAGUGGCGAAGGCGACUUUCUGGACUGUAACUGACACUGAGGCAUGAAAGCGUGGGUAGCAAAC